rnacentral:rRNA from 1 species
CACCGCGGUUAUACGAGAGGCCCGAGUUGAUAAACAUCGGCGUAAAGAGUGGUUAAUUUAAUUGUAGACUAAAGCUAAACACCUUCAAGGCUGUUAUACGCACCCGAAGACAGGAAACCCAACCACGAAAGUAGCUUUAUACAGUAUUGACUCCACGAAAGCUAGGACA